AUUGAACGCUGGCGGCAGGCCUAACACAUGCAAGUCGAGCGGAUGAAGGGAGCUUGCUCCUGGAUUCAGCGGCGGACGGGUGAGUAAUGCCUAGGAAUCUGCCUGGUAGUGGGGGAUAACGUCCGGAAACGGGCGCUAAUACCGCAUACGUCCUGAGGGAGAAAGUGGGGGAUCUUCGGACCUCACGCUAUCAGAUGAGCCUAGGUCGGAUUAGCUAGUUGGUGGGGUAAAGGCCUACCAAGGCGACGAUCCGUAACUGGUCUGAGAGGAUGAUCAGUCACACUGGAACUGAGAUACGGUCCAGACUCCUACGGGAGGCAGCAGUGGGGAAUAUUGGGCAAAGGGCGAAAGCCUGAUCCAGCCAUGCCGCGUGUGUGAAGAAGGUCUUCGGAUUGUAAAGCACUUUAAGUUGGGAGGAAGGGCAGUAAGUUAAUACCUUGCUGUUUUGACGUUACCAACAGAAUAAGCACCGGCUAACUUCGUG
rnacentral:rRNA from 1 species